rnacentral:rRNA from 1 species
AGGAAUAUAUUAGACGAAUCAUCUGGAAAGUUGAAUCAAAGAAGGUAAUAAUCCUGUAGUUGAAAAUAUAUUCUCUCUUGAGUGGAUCCUGAGUACGACGGAGCACGUGAAAUUCCGUCGGAAUCUGGGAGGACCAUCUCCUAAGGCUAAAUACUCUCUAGUGACCGAUAGUGAACCAGUACCGUGAGGGAAAGGUGAAAAGUACCCCGGAAGGGGAGUGAAAGAGAACUUGAAACCGUGUGCUUACAAGUAGUCAGAGCCCGUUAAUGGGUGAUGGCGUGCCUUUUGUAGAAUGAACCGGCGAGUUACGAU